UCUCGAGCAUGUUGGUCGAUANCUCGAGUCGAGAGGGUUCGGCCCUCGGCAGACUGCUCAGUAACACGUGGAUAAUCUACCCUUAGGUGGAGGAUACUCUCGGGAAACUGAGAAUAAUACUCCAUAGGUCUAGGAUGCUGGAAUGCACCUAGGUUGAAAGUUCCGGCGCCUAAGGACGAGUCUGCGGACUAUCAGGUAGUAGUCAGGGUAAAGACCUGACUAGCCUACGACGGAUACGGGCUGUGAGAGCAAUAGCCCGGAGACGAUAUCUGAGACACGAUAUCGGGCCCUACGGGGCGCAGCAGGCGCGAAAUCUUCACAAUGUGCGAAAGCACGAUGAGGGGAUCCCAAGUGUUGGUUCGUAAGAGUCACCUGUUUCUUUGUCUAAAAAACAGAGAGAGUAAGAGCUGGGUAAGACGGGUGCCAGCCGCCGCGGUAAUACCUGCAGCUCAAGUGGUGGCCGCUAUUAUUGGGCCUAAAACGUCCGUAGCCGGUUUAGUAAAUGCCUGGGUAAAUUGUGUAGCUCAACUAUACGAAUACCGGGUAGACUGCUAAACUUGAAACCGGGAGAGGCUAGAGGUACUCCUAGGGUAGAGGUGAAAUUCUGUAAUCCUAGGGGGACCACCAGUGGCGAAGGCGUCUAGCUAGAACGGGUUUGACGGUGAGGGACGAAGCCCUGGGGCGCAAACCGGAUUAGAUACCCGGGUAGUCCAGGGUGUAAACGCUGCUCGCUUGAUGUUAGUCGGGCUCCGAGCCCAACUAGUGUCGGAGAGAAGUUGUUAAGCGAGCUGCCUGGGAAGUACGGUCGCAAGGCUGAAACUUAA
rnacentral:rRNA from 1 species